rnacentral:miRNA from 1 species
ACGUGUGUGUGUGUGUGUGUGUGUGUGUGUGUGUGUGUGUGUGUGUGCAGCAGGGGCCCAGGCCCAUACACACACUCUGCCGCCAA